rnacentral:tRNA from 1 species
AGGGGUGUAGCUCAGUGGUAGAGUAUGUGCUUAGCAUACAUAAGACCUUGGGUUCCAUCCCCAGCACCACAC